rnacentral:lncRNA from 1 species
UCCUUAAUAAACCAACAAGACCUCAGAACUAAAAGGCCAAGGUGUAGGAUAUGGCUGCAGGAGUGGGCUUUCUGGACUCUAAAUGGGAGUCAGAUGUGAGGUCUCUUGUAUAGUGUCCUGCCUGAUUUAGUCAGGCCUCCCAGCCAAGAGAAAGGCUUGUCUUUAGCAUUCAGGUGAAUACAUGCCAUUACCCUCUGUGAACCAGGAGGUUAAGUACAUGCUGGAAGGGUUAUAGCACCUACAGCACCCCUGUGUCUAAUGCCAGCUCUUAACCAUCGCAGCUUUGUCCAUUUGCCAAGAAACUGGCCAGAAGAGGAGAAAAGUUGAAGGAGAGAGUUCUGGAAGUAGAUGGGCUUAAUAGUUCAUCUUUCAUGACUCAUUUUGGCUUAUUUUCUUUUGUGUUGCUUGUUUGAUCCAAGUUUGAAGGCCAGGCAUGUGUGUGUGGGUGUGUGUGAGAAAAGACAUAAGAAAAACACAUAUAAUUACUCUAUUAGCAGUGGAAAAGAAAGUGGAAGAGAAAAGCUUCUCCUCAGGUGGCAUAUUCUUUUAUUAGUUAAUAGAACAAAUAGGGAUUCUGCAGGUCUACAAGGAAACUGUUCUUUAGUCUUAAGAAACCCAGUACUGGUAAGCUCAAAAUUAAUAUGUUAAGGAGAAGGUGCAGCUCUCA